CUCUGGAUGAACGCUGGCGGCGUGCGUAAUACAUGCAAGUCGAACGCACUAGUUUACUAGUGAGUGGCGAACGGGUGAGUAACACGUAGGUAACCUGCCCUUAAGACGAGGAUAACCAUUGGAAACGAUGGCUAAGACUGGAUAGGAAUAUUUGAGGCAUCUUAAAUAUUUUAAAAGACCUAGCAAUAGGUAUGCUUAAGGAGGGGCCUGCGGCGCAUUAGUUAGUUGGUGAGGUGAGAGCUCACCAAGACGAUGAUGCGUAGCCGGACUGAGAGGUUGAACGGCCACAUUGGGACUGAGAAACGGCCCAAACUCCUACGGGAGGCAGCAGUAGGGAAUUUUCGGCAAUGGAGGAAACUCUGACCGAGCAACGCCGCGUGAAUGACGAAGUACUUCGGUAUGUAAAGUUCUUUUAUCAGGGAAGAAUGGGCAGUGGAAAAACUGUUUUGACGGUACCUGAUGAAUAAGCCCCGGCUAACUAUGUGCCAGCAGCCGCGGUAAUACAUAGGGGGCAAGCGUUAUCCGGAAUUAUUGGGCGUAAAGGGUGCGUAGGCGGUUAUUUAAGUCUUUGGUGUAAGUGCAAGGCUCAACCUUGUGAUGCUAAGGAAACUGGAUAACUUGAGUGUGAUAGAGGUAAGUGGAAUUCCAUGUGUAGCGGUAAAAUGCGUAAAUAUAUGGAGGAACACCAGUGGCGAAGGCGGCUUACUGGGUCACAACUGACGCUGAGGCACGAAAGCGUGGGGAGCAAACAGGAUUAGAUACCCUGGUAGUCCACGCCGUAAACGAUGAGUACUAAGUGUUGGAGAAAUUCAGUGCUGUAGUUAACGCAAUAAGUACUCCGCCUGAGAG
rnacentral:rRNA from 1 species